UAACCUGUCCUGCCACUACUACAAAAUUUGGAUAAAGGACCCCAAAUAAAAGACCCGUCAUAUCAAUCAACAGGUCUGUUUUAUGUAAGAGAUCUAAUAUUAUAGAUGACAGGUCUGUAAUGUGUACUAGGUCCUACCACUAUGGAGACAAAAAAAAAUUAAAAAAAUUAAGAGAUCCGUUGUCAAAGCCAGCGGAUCUCUAAUAUGUAGUAGGCCCAAUACUUGGGUAACAAAAUUAGAAAGAAAAAGAUAACAGAACCGUUAUUACACUUGACUGGCCUUGAUUUUUUAAAACUUUAUUAGUCACCUUCCUCGUCAUUUCCGCCAAUCCGCCUAGCUCUAAUAGGCAAGUAUUCAUUCCUCUUUCCCUGGAUUUUUCCUCUACCUUUCCUCGUCAUUUCCGCCUCCUCUAAUCUGUCUUACACUCUCACUCUCUAUCCCCUCCUUCCUCUCCAAGUCGCACUAAAAUAAUUUAGCGAGUUGAUACCGGUGCAGAAUUAUUUGGCGAUGAUCGGUGGUUAGUGAUGGUAACGUUUGUAUAAGUGAAGGCGGGUCGAUAGCGGUGGUCGAUUGAACAACAAGAAGACUAGAAAUCGUUACUGAAAUCUAAAUUUGAUAAAGAUUUGAAAUACUUUAUUGGUAUGUUGUUGCAAAAUUAAGGUGUUUUCCAUAGCUUGUUGGGAAUUAUUGAGAUGACAUUGUUGAUAUCGUUGGUUUUUUCGAACUUUGAGGACCGCAAAUCGGCAUUUUACAUUCCUCCUGUUAUAACAUUAGUUCGUACUUUUAGAUUUCAAAUUAGUUUAUAAAUGUAACUUGUAACAAUU